GGAACUGUGACCAGCAGGCAUUUUAGGAUGUUCCUAGCUGCCUUAUAAACUGGCUGCUAAAAGUGGUGCUUUUCAAUCUCACAAUUUAAUAUCAAAUUCUCUGCUUUCUUCGUAUAAAAGAGUCCUUAGUUUUAUAGCUGCGAUCAGAUAGAGGGCCAUCCUUAAGAAACUGGAGCCAAAAGGCUGGUUAAGAAUUGUCUAUUAAGUGAAAAUAGUCUUAUUUAUCUUAGGUACCCUCCCUCUCAUUCUGUCCAUCAGAAGCAAACCUUUUCUUUACCUCCCAUAAUAGUACAUCAGAAGCGAGGGCUUUCUCUCCAUUUAUUUCUUCCUAAAGUGUAAUCAGCAGAUUGAGGAUAUAUGUGCUGCAUGUAUAUUUAAGAAAUUAAUUUAAGUAAAUUAAAACUCCUUUCCAGCUGAGUUUCAAGGACCAGUGCAACUCAUUUGAUAUUUUAAAUAAAAUAUAUUUCUGGUCGAGAUUUAGACCUACACAUAGGCAAUAGGGCACAAAAUCUUUCUUUAUCCAAGCAAAGCAAAUAAAAACAUUGUCCCCUGGAAAAUUCUCCCACAUAUCUACAUUUGUUUUCCUGUUCCAUCAUCAAUUCUCAACCCGCCCCCCGCCCCCACACACACAUAUACACAUAUGCGCUCAGUGAGAGAUUUUCUAUUUCUUUGGGGUCUAGUUCAUACUGAAUGCCUCACUGGAACUACAGAAGCACCACAGGUAGCUGUGUCCUACUUCAACCAUGCACUAACAUCAUGCCCUCCCGUGACCACUGGAGUUUUGCUGCAUCCUCAACAAAUCCUACUCUCAGAAAUUUUUAAUUGCGCUGAAGUCCAAUUUAUCAAUUUGUUCUUGAUGGAUCGUGCCUUGGUUUCACUUAUUGAAGCAAUUAUGCUGGUUGGAAGAAGUUAA
rnacentral:lncRNA from 1 species